rnacentral:rRNA from 1 species
GACGAACGCUGGCGGCGUGCCUAAUACAUGCAAGUAGAACGCUGAAGAGAGGAGCUUGCUCUUCUUGGAUGAGUUGCGAACGGGUGAGUAACGCGUAGGUAACCUGCCUUGUAGCGGGGGAUAACUAUUGGAAACGAUAGCUAAUACCGCAUAACAAUGGAUGACACAUGUCAUUUAUUUGAAAGGGGCAAUUGUUCCACUACAAGAUGGACCUGCGUUGUAUUAGCUAGUAGGUGAGGUAAUGGCUCACCUAGGCGACGAUACAUAGCCGACCUUAGAGGGUGAUCGGCCACACUGGGACUGAGACACGGCCCAGACUCCUACGGGAGGCAGCAGUAGGGAAUCUUCGGCAAUGGGGGCAACCCUGACCGAGCAACGCCGCGUGAGUGAAGAAGGUUUUCGGAUCGUAAAGCUCUGUUGUAAGUCAAGAACGGGUGUGAGAGUGGAAAGUUCACACUGUGACGGUAGCUUACCAGAAAGGGACGGCUAACUACGUG